GAGUUUGAUCCUGGCUCAGAUUGAACGCUGGCGGCAUGCCUUACACAUGCAAGUCGAACGGCAGCACGGGUGCUUGCACCUGGUGGCGAGUGGCGAACGGGUGAGUAAAGUAUCGGAACGUGCCUGGUAGUGGGGGAUAACUAGUCGAAAGACUAGCUAAUACCGCAUACGAUCUAAGGAUGAAAGCAGGGGACCUUCGGGCCUUGUGCUAUCAGAGCGGCCGAUAUCUGAUUAGCUAGUUGGUGGGGUAAAAGCCCACCAAGGCGACGAUCAGUAGCUGGUCUGAGAGGACGACCAGCCACACUGGAACUGAGACACGGUCCAGACUCCUACGGGAGGCAGCAGUGGGGAAUUUUGGACAAUGGGGGCAACCCUGAUCCAGCAAUGCCGCGUGAGUGAAGAAGGCCCUCGGGUUGUAAAGCUCUUUUGUCAGGGAAGAAAAGGCUGUGGCUAAUAUCCACAGCUGCUGACGGUACCUGAAGAAUAAGCACCGGCUAACUACGUGCCAGCAGCCGCGGUAAUACGUAGGGUGCAAGCGUUAAUCGGAAUUACUGGGCGUAAAGCGUGCGCAGGCGGUUUUAUAAGUCUGAUGUGAAAUCCCCGGGCUCAACCUGGGAACUGCAUUGGAGACUGUAAGGCUAGAGUGUGUCAGAGGGGGGUAGAAUUCCACGUGUAGCAGUGAAAUGCGUAGAUAUGUGGAGGAAUACCGAUGGCGAAGGCAGCCCCCUGGGAUAACACUGACGCUCAUGCACGAAAGCGUGGGGAGCAAACAGGAUUAGAUACCCUGGUAGUCCACGCCCUAAACGAUGUCAACUAGUUGUCGGGUCUUAAUUGACUUGGUAACGCAGCUAACGCGUGAAGUUGACCGCCUGGGGAGUACGGUCGCAAGAUUAAAACUCAAAGGAAUUGACGGGGACCCGCACAAGCGGUGGAUGAUGUGGAUUAAUUCGAUGCAACGCGAAAAACCUUACCUACCCUUGACAUGGCAGGAAUCCUGAAGAGAUUUGGGAGUGCUCGCA
rnacentral:rRNA from 1 species